rnacentral:rRNA from 1 species
UACGAAGGGGGCUAGCGUUGCUCGGAAUCACUGGGCGUAAAGGGUGCGUAGGCGGGUCUUUAAGUCAGGGGUGAAAUCCUGGAGCUCAACUCCAGAACUGCCUUUGAUACUGAAGAUCUUGAGUGCGGGAGAGGUGGGUGGAACUGCGAGUGUAGAGGUGAAAUUCGUAGAUAUUCGCAAGAACACCAGUGGCGAAGGCGGCUCACUGGCCCGAUACUGACGCUGAGGCACGAAAGCGUGGGGAGCAAACAGG